CCACGAGAUUGAAACAUUUCAGUUUUUCCUGUAAACGAAUGUGUUUUAUUAAAUGAGGGCAGGCGAGAAGUCGUGUGUGGGGUGACUGAAUGAGACUCUGGCUGGAAGGACCAUAUUGGGCUUCAUCUCUGCUGUCAGAAGUUUCUCAUAUCAGAAAAUGCAGCACUGAAAGUCACAGAUGAGCAGGGUAUAGAGGUGGGUGAGGAUGUCUUUCCUCAACUUGCAACAGUCAAAGAGGUGUUUGUCAUCUAUACAGGUGAAGACAUCCUGGAAACACAAUCAUCCAAGAAGCUGCGUGACUGCUCAGAUAUAACAGAAUUUGUGACACUCACACCUUGUGGUAUGUAAAUUGUAUAUUUCCAUAAUAAAAUACAAAAUAACCAUCUCUUUUCUGUAUAAUCUAAAGCGUGCAAUUUACUGGCCCUACGUGCAUAAAUGGUAGUUUUGUUUUGGUUGACUUUUGAUUGUAUCCCUUAUAUUCUAAUAUUUUUAUUUGUGAUCCUCAGAUUGAUCUGAGCAACAUCUGGAGGAGCCCUCCUCUCUAAGUCUAGAUACAUUGUCUGUGUCAACCACCAGCAUUCAGAACAGUGACACAAGCAAUGCUUGAUGUCAAAUGGUUCAGACUCUAUUGGACAGCAUACAUGCAAGAAAUGUACAGUAGAUACAUACAUAUUGCACUUACUUAAUAGCUACACCCUUUUUGCACAUGCUUUCUUAUUCAGCUAUUUAUCAAUAAGUAACUUAUAUAUAUAUAUAUAUAUGUAUGUAUUGUGCCAUUCCUUACUUUGUGUAUUGUCUGUCUUUGUUACUGUUUGAACUGGAGCACUGUAACCAAAAUAAUUUCCCCUAGGGAUCAAUAAAGUAUUCUGAUUCUGAUACAUUACUUAAUAGGCUCACACUUGGCUCUUUGGUGGCCAUUACUUGACAAAGCUUAAACACGAAGAUAAAACAGAUUAGAGGAAAAUAAUUUGAUAAUAGUAUUUCAUGUAGUUCAUAUGUAUAAUCCACAGAUUGAAAUAGUUGUUUGGGUUAAAAUUGUCUCUUUUUUCUGUCAGUUGUUUUGUGCUUUGUAUCAAAUGUGUUUAGACAGUGGAGCAGAUUCCAACUUCCAAACCAGCAGGGGUGACUGUCAUCCAUGAGUAUGAAUAAACUGGGAGUUUGAAAGAUUCCACCAGGCGAAUAAUGGUGAACAUCAUUGUAGCUCACAUGCGUGAAAAGGAAGGGUAAGAGGCAUGAUGUUUAUUCCAUUCAUUUUUCAAACUGGCAAGAAUCUUAUCACAAACAACACUUCUGCUUUUGCAGGAGAAAUCUAAGUAAAGCGACAAAGGGGUUUCAUGCACUUGGAAUCGUGUCACUCUUCCCAUCUUUGAAGGAUCUGUACUCCAAAAAGGGAUAUGGGAGUUUGCACUGCAACUGUAGUGAGCAUUUCUAUGACAUUCAGAGCAACAAAGGUUUUCUUGAGUGGCGUAUCAAGACUGUGCAACGUCAGUCCAAAACCACCACUGCAUCACACAACAGAGUAGAACUAAAAGGAGGGCCCACAUCACCAAGGAUGUUUGGUUUCACUGAUGACCAGCAAACAACAGAUCAACGUGUGGAAGCCAUGUCUCUUCUUCAUCACACCACUGACCAGGACAUGGUCUUCCACAAGUUGAGAGAGACAUUCUGCUCACACACUUUCUGUGUCCUGAUCAGUGCUCU